rnacentral:rRNA from 1 species
UUGAACGCUGGCGGCAUGCCUUACACAUGCAAGUCGAACGGCAGCACGGGUGCUUGCACCUGGUGGCGAGUGGCGAACGGGUGAGUAAUACAUCGGAACAUGUCCUGUGGUGGGGGAUAGCCCGGCGAAAGCCGGAUUAAUACCGCAUACGAUCUACGGAUGAAAGCGGGGGACCUUCGGGCCUCGCGCUAUAGGGUUGGCCGAUGGCUGAUUAGCUAGUUGGUGGGGUAAAGGCCUACCAAGGCGACGAUCAGUAGCUGGUCUGAGAGGACGACCAGCCACACUGGGACUGAGACACGGCCCAGACUCCUACGGGAGGCAGCAGUGGGGAAUUUUGGACAAUGGGCGAAAGCCUGAUCCAGCAAUGCCGCGUGUGUGAAGAAGGCCUUCGGGUUGUAAAGCACUUUUGUCCGGAAAGAAAUCCUUGGCCCUAAUACGGUCGGGGGAUGACGGUACCGGAAGAAUAAGCACCGGCUAACUACGU